CAGCAUUUUUCUAUAUAACUGAAAACUUGAAGAUCAGGAUUUAUUUCCCCUUGAUGUUUGUUCUAUGCUAACGUUGGCCGGCAUCUGAAGAAUUUGGAAGGCAAAACCCUUGUCAGCACGAAUACGUGCGAACUGUCGAGCUGUCUAGUCUCUGCAACCGCGCUGACGCCACUGCAAAUUGAUAACCAAAACAGCAAGAAGAAUCUUGGAAUUAGAGGAAGAGGAAAAAACCAUGUAGCCCACUCUGUAAGCUGCCUCAUAUGAGAGAGAUCAAGGAUGCGAAGCCCUCAAAUAUUCUACAGUACCUCUCCACAAUCGUGUAUUUCCUGGUACCAUGUGCUGCCUUCAACAUGGAACUUCAAGAUUCAGUGUUGUAGUUAAAAGAGAUAUUUCAUUAAUAAGAAAACACCCAUGUGUGUACAACAUUCAUCAACUGAAUUAAACUCUUUCUAAACUGA